rnacentral:lncRNA from 1 species
CUCAGCUCUACCACGAACUAGCAAUGUGGCCAAGCACCAAGCCUUUCUGGUCUUAGCUUUCUCAUUUAUAAAAUGAAGAAGCCAAAGUUAACUGGAUUUCUAGCCCCUGCCAACUCUCAUAUCUCUAACAAGUCAUGAUUUAAAGCUUCAAGCAUAUGAUUAUGAGAUGGUGGUUCUCAACAUUUACCACAACCUCCCAGCAAACCACACAGCAGUCAACUCUCAAGAUUUCUUCCAGGAGGGUAAAGGGAUUUUUCUCUUCACAUGCCAUCCAACUCCAUGGGAAAACAUUAGCAGUGACAAAUGACUCUGGAUGAAUGCUUGAAUCCGAGCUUUCUGGCAUCCUUUCCCAUUCUCUGAACAUGAGAGGAAUGAGAAGGUUAUUUGGAAGGUCGCUGAUCUUAGGAGUUGUCCUGCUACAGUUACCGGAGAAUCUUGAAUUUCAUCUGAAAAGACUGCAAGGCAGUCGGGGCAAGCAUGCUAUGAGAAGUCAACUGAGGAAAAGACAGUGAGAGAGCAAGAGCAGAUUGAGAAGCAGAAGAGUGAGUCGCAAAAAGAGAAAAUGACAGAAAUGGAGCACCCUGGUAUCAUAAAAUAUGCUUGAACUUGGGUUAAUUCCUCUUGGACUGAAUUGUAGUGCCAUAAACCAAGCUUUUCAAAAAGAUUGGAUGCAAAACUAUUAUGGCAACAGGAAUUUUUAUCAACAUAAAGCAGGAUUUAAUGCAGGGUGAAGGAUUUCUACUGUAAAUGCUUCAAAUCAUCAUCAUGGGGGAGAAGAGCACAGCAGUAUUUCCUUCCAAAAUUCUGUUUUCCUAGAAUCCCAAGCUACAUUGGUUGGUAAUAAAUAAUGUGGUUAAAGAAGGCAGAUUCUAAGAUAGAAUUUUGGACCUGGAUCACCUGUAGCCUGCCUAGCAAUGAAGACCUCAUCAGUGGUGAUAGAUGGAGAACAGAUACACCUUGGAACCAGAGUCCACCACGGAGAAGAUGCCCUAUACGUGUAUGUAAAAUGCUGAAUUAAAUAACAUUGUUUAACCAUUUUGCCAGCCACAGAAAUAAACUAA